rnacentral:rRNA from 1 species
AUGCGUCAAUUGAAGCUUGUGCACAACAUGAGGGCUCAAAACGACCUGUGGUUCCCAGAAUACCUACUACGCAUUGGAAACGGAACCGAGGAGACAAAUGAUGAUGGUGAAAUACAACUACCUACAAGUAUAUGUGUGUCAAGUAAGGAUGACAAUGGCCUGGAUAGACUAAUCAACAAUGUCUACCAAACGGACAAAGCUUCACUAAAAGAUCCAAAGUACAUCACGUCAGCAAUUUUAUCCGCAAGGAAUGACUCCGUGGACAAAAUAAACCUAAAAAUGAUUGAUCGUUUCCAGGGGAGGAGAUGGUGUACCACAGCUUCAAUUCGGUAG